AACCCAUGUUAAGGACAUUUAUACAAGAGAUCUUUGAACCUUUCCCAUGUCUCAAAGAAAGACUCCAAUUCCAUUUGUACGAAGGAAGAUAUCUCAAUCUUGAGCUU